AGAGUUUGAACCUGGCUCAGGAUGAACGCUGGCGGCGUGCUUAACACAUGCAAGUCGAACGAUGAUCCCAGCUUGCUGGGGGAUUAGUGGCGAACGGGUGAGUAACACGUGAGUAACCUGCCCUUAACUCUGGGAUAAGCCUGGGAAACUGGGUCUAAUACCGGAUAUGACUCCUCAUCGCAUGGUGGGGGGUGGAAAGCUUUAUUGUGGUUUUGGAUGGACUCGCGGCCUAUCAGCUUGUUGGUGAGGUAAUGGCUCACCAAGGCGACGACGGGUAGCCGGCCUGAGAGGGUGACCGGCCACACUGGGACUGAGACACGGCCCAGACUCCUACGGGAGGCAGCAGUGGGGAAUAUUGCACAAUGGGCGCAAGCCUGAUGCAGCGACGCCGCGUGAGGGAUGACGGCCUUCGGGUUGUAAACCUCUUUUAUGGGAGAAGAAGUUCUGACGGUAUCCCAUGAAUAAGCCACGGCUAACUACGUGCCAGCAGCCGCGGUAAUACGUAGGUGGCGAGCGUUGUCCGGAUUUACUGGGCGUAAAGGGCUUGUAGGCGGUCCGUUAAGUCCGAUGUGAAAUCUCCCGGCUCAACUGGGAGAGGUCAUUGGAUACUGGCGGACUAGAGGGGGGUAGAGGAAAGCAGAAUUCCUGGUGUAGCGGUGGAAUGCGUAGA
rnacentral:rRNA from 1 species